CUCCUUCCCUCCCUCCCUUCCUUCCUUUCAAGUUCUUCAAAUGAUUCUCCUAAACAGCCAGGUAGCCAGCUUGUGCUAAAGGCACACCUUGGAGAUCCUGCGGGUUCAGUUCCAGGCCACUGAGAUGAAGCAAAUACUGCAAUAAAGUCCUGUCUGGACGCUGAUGGCUGCGACUGAUCAGGGUGGUGGUUGCUGAAGGUUGGAGUGGCUGUGACAGUUUCAUAAAACAACACAGCAAUGACGUUUGCAACAUGGAUUGACUCUUCCUUUCAUGAACAAUUUCCCCAUAGCAGGAGAUGCUG